UACAGAGGUGGCAAGCGUUGUUCGGAAUUACUGGGCGUAAAGCGCGUGUAGGCGGACCAACAAGUCAGGCGUGAAAUCCCUGGGCUCAACCCAGGAACUGCACCUGAAACUGUCGGUCUUGAGUGGUGGAGAGGGAAGCAGAAUUCCUGGUGUAGAGGUGAAAUUCGUAGAUAUCAGGAGGAACACAGGUGGCGAAGGCGGCUUCCUGGACACUAACUGACGCUGAGACGCGAAAGCGUGGGGAGCAAACAGG
rnacentral:rRNA from 1 species